rnacentral:rRNA from 1 species
UACGUAGGGUGCAAGCGUUGUCCGGAAUUAUUGGGCGUAAAGAGCUCGUAGGCGGUUUGUCGCGUCGAAUGUGAAAACCCGGGGCUUAACCCCGGGCCUGCAUUCGAUACGGGCAGACUAGAGUUCGGUAGGGGAGUCUGGAAUUCCUGGUGUAGCGGUGAAAUGCGCAGAUAUCAGGAGGAACACCGGUGGCGAAGGCGGGACUCUGGGCCGAUACUGACGCUGAGGAGCGAAAGCGUGGGGAGCAAACAGG